AUUGAACGCUGGCGGCAUGCCUUACACAUGCAAGUCGAACGGCAGCGGGCCUUCGGGUGCCGGCGAGUGGCGAACGGGUGAGUAAUGCAUCGGAACGUGCCAUUGAGUGGGGGAUAACGUAGCGAAAGUUACGCUAAUACCGCAUAUUCUGUGAGCAGGAAAGCAGGGGACCGCAAGGCCUUGCGCUCUUUGAGCGGCCGAUGUCAGAUUAGCUAGUUGGUGAGGUAAAGGCUUACCAAGGCGACGAUCUGUAGCGGGUCUGAGAGGAUGAUCCGCCACACUGGAACUGAGACACGGUCCAGACUCCUACGGGAGGCAGCAGUGGGGAAUUUUGGACGAUGGGCGCAAGCCUGAUCCAGCCAUGCCGCGUGAGUGAAGAAGGCCU
rnacentral:rRNA from 1 species